UCCUUAGAUGUUCUGGGCCGCACGCGCGCUACACUGAUGCAUUCAACGAGUCUAAAACCUGCUCUGAUAGGGGUGGGUAAUCUUUUGAAUGUGCAUCGUGAUUGGGAUAGAUGAUUGCAAUUUUUCAUCUUCAACGAGGAAUGCCUAGUAAACGCAAGUCAUCAGCUUGCAUUGAUUACGUCCUUGCCCUUUGUACACACCGCCCGUCGCUCCUACCGAUUGAAUGAUCCGAUGAAUAUCAUGGAUUGAGGAUGCAAGCAGGUUCGCCUGUCUCCAUCUUCGAGAAGUGAAGUAAAUCUUAUCAUUUAGAGGAAGGAGAAGUCGUAACA
rnacentral:rRNA from 1 species